rnacentral:rRNA from 1 species
UACGUAGGGGGCAAGCGUUGUCCGGAUUUAUUGGGCGUAAAGAGCGUGUAGGCGGCCAGAUAGGUCCGUUGUGAAAACUGGAGGCUUAACCUCCAGCUGUCGAUGGAAACCAUCUGGCUAGAGUCCGGAAGAGGAGAAUGGAAUUCCCGGUGUAGCGGUGAAAUGCGCAGAUAUCGGGAAGAACACCCGUGGCGAAGGCGGUUCUCUGGGACGGUACUGACGCUGAGACGCGAAAGCGUGGGGAGCGAACAGG